CUGCAAGUCGAGCGCAGGAAACUGACGGAACUCUUCGGAGGGAAGGCAGUGGAAUGAGCGGCGGACGGGUGAGUAACACGUAAGGAACCUGCCUCAAGGAUUGGGAUAACUCCGAGAAAUCGGAGCUAAUACCGGAUAGUUCAACGGACCGCAUGGUCCGCUGAUGAAAGGCGCUUCGGCGUCACCUUGAGAUGGCCUUGCGGUGCAUUAGCUAGUUGGUGGGGUAACGGCUCACCAAGGCGACGAUGCAUAGCCGACCUGAGAGGGUGAUCGGCCACACUGGGACUGAGACACGGCCCAGACUCCUAUGGGAGGCAGCAGUAGGGAAUCUUCCACAAUGGACGAAAGUCUGAUGGAGCAACGCCGCGUGAGUGAUGAAAGUUUUCGGAUCGUAAAGCUCUGUUGUUAGGGAAGAACAAGUGCGAGAGGUAACUGCUCGCCACCUUGACGGUACCU
rnacentral:rRNA from 1 species